UGCAGCCCGUGGUUGGAAAUGGCCCCGCUCCUUAGUGAUCUCCCUGAUUGAAAAAGGGCGUAAAAUAUGCAAAAAAUAUCUUCGUUGGUUAAAUCAAGGAGAGUUAAAUAUAACUGAACAGGCUCGACAGCAAUACGCGCUAAUCUCAUCAGUCGCCAUUUAUUUUUUUUAACAAUUAUAAUUUGCGUCACUUUUCUCGAGAAGAUACAAUGUUUAUUGGGAAAUGUAUUUGAGAAAGAGAAUUACAUCGAUAACGAAAUUGUGGUCAGGACGAAUUGGAUCGAAAGUUGCGAGUGAUCGAGAAGCACGCUAGGGAUAAAAAUCUGACAAUUUUUUGAAUUAGUGUCGGUAUGCGCUAGUGGUAAUGCGAUGUAUGGAAAUGGCACUUAUAUAUAGUGUGAAAGGUAUAAAAAGCGUACGGAUGAAGUGGAAGCGAGAUACGUGAUCAAAAUGAGUGGAUCGAUGAUAUACGAUGUUCCUAAUGACAAAACAACAGGAGAGUGAAAUAAAAACCGUAUGAUCGAUGCAGUUAAUGGAAGUCAUCUCUGAGGUGUUUGAUGCGACAUCUAUCGAGCCAAUGGUAUGCGUAAAAGAGAGAAAUCAAAGAAUGAGAAGAACAAAUAGACAAGCAUUUAAAAUUAGAUUGUAUAAUCUGAAUAUUUGAAAAGCGUAAACGUAUAAAAAGAGGAUAAUCGGAGAAAUUAAUAUAAGGACAGGAUCGUAUGGCAUCGUUGGAUUAAUAUGGGUAUACGUUUGCCUUCGAUUAUCAUCUGUCCUCUGGUCAGGAUAAGUCACAACGGUGACGAUUAUUUUUUCAUCAUUAGUAUUUCGAUUAAUUCUCGACUUUCCCCGAUUUAAGAGCCAGGAGACCGGAGAAAUGUAAAUCCGAGAAAUAUCAACAACUCCAACGGAAAGAAACGGUCGAGCGCGACUGGAUCCGAAAGUGUGACCUACAUUCUAAAAUACCAUUUAAUUGCAUAAACAACAACAAAAAUAUCGCUUGGGUAAUUAGCAUUAACUAUAGCCGGAAAGCCUAAAAAGGUAGGGAAUUUAAAGAAAAUCUAAAUAAGCCUUCUGGUAGAACGGAACGGUACUAAGAUUUUCGUCCGAAAUAUGGGGCGGAAGGUGGAUCCCGUACCCGCACGUUUGUUUAAUGGACUGUCGUUCCCACUUUCUCCCAACGAGCAACCCAAUGGAAUAAUGAACGUGAACCCAGGGCACCGGAUUGAUCCUCGAUUAAUAACAGUAAUUGGAAAGCGUCCUAUACUUGACGACAGCAUCGGAAGCCAGUAUCGAGUCUAUGGAAGCGGCGUAAUACAAACUUUUCUGACGGUAUAAAUGCGCACGGAACAGUCGAUUUCGGUAUAAAAGGUAACGUCAGUAAUAACGAUGUUUAUUUUUAUGUAAUUUGGGUUGGGGGUACCGCAUUUGGGUUUACAGUUAUCAAUUUCGAAUAAACAUUCGAUUCAGUUUACUUGGUUUGACGGCUAAUUAUGCAGUCUUUCGAGAAUGAUUUAAAAUUACAACUCUCCGCCAUUUUGUAACUGUUAGAAUCGAUUAGAGCGC
rnacentral:lncRNA from 1 species